rnacentral:misc_RNA from 1 species
CGAGUGGAGGGCGCUCGCCGCCCGACCUCCCAACCCUUUGAUUUGAUCAAGACCUCUUUCUGCCUCGGGGGCGACCCGGCCUUUGCGGCCGCCGGUCCCCCCGGCCGGCACCCCUUCCAACCCUGCAUCAAUUGUCGUCGGAAUGAUAUUUUUGAAAUUCAAUCAAAACUUUCAACAACGGAUCUCUUGGUUCUGGCAUCGAUGAAGAACGCAGCGAAAUGCGAUAAGUAAUGUGAAUUGCAGAAUUCAGUGAAUCAUCGAAUCUUUGAACGCACAUUGCGCCCUUUGGCAUUCCGAAGGGCAUGCCUGUUCGAGCGUCAUUACACCAAUCAAGCCUGGCUUGGUAUUGGGCGACGGGGGGUCGUUUCCACACGCCCCCGCGCCCCAAAGACCCUCCCGGCGGGACGGACCGAAUCUCAGCGUUGUGCAAACCAAGCCGCUGGCGAGACGGGACGGCCGUGCCGUGAAAACCUCUUUUCUCUUGUAAUGUUGACCUCGGAUCAGGUAGGGAUACCCGCUGAACUUAAGCAUAUCAAUAAGCGGAGGA